UGGGGAAUAUUGCACAAUGGGCGCAAGCCUGAUGCAGCCAUGCCGCGUGUAUGAAGAAGGCCUUCGGGUUGUAAAGUACUUUCAGUCGGGAGGAAGGUGGUAAGGUUAAUAACCUUGGCAAUUGACGUUACCGACAGAAGAAGCACCGGCUAACUCCGUGCCAGCAGCCGCGGUAAUACGGAGGGUGCAAGCUUUAAUCGGAAUUACUGGGCGUAAAGCGCACGCAGGCGGUUGAUUGAGUCAGAUGUGAAAUCCCCGGGCUUAACCCGGGAAUUGCAUCUGAGACUGGUCAGCGAGAGUCUAGUAGAGGGGGGUAGAAUUACAUGUGUAGAGGUGAAAUGCGUAGAGAUGUGGAGGAAUAACGGUGGCGAAGGCGGCCCCCUGGACAAAGACUGACGCUCAGGUGCGAAAGCGUGGGGAGCAAACAGG
rnacentral:rRNA from 1 species